AUCAACACUUGACCGCUCUCAUUACGUAGCCGCCAUCACCAUGGCAACUAAUUAUUCACGUGCUGCGCUUCUUGCUAACUUUCACCUAUGUUAAAACAAGUCUACCAGUUUAUUACGGUCCGGGAGUAGAGGCGAAUAGUUUAAUUAUGUUUAUGUGUUUUACCGGACAAAACAAGUUUGUCUACGUCACUAUAAUAGAGGCUCCUCUUGUUUAUCCUCCUGCUUAGGGACAUCCAAGCGGUCUAUAAAGUUCUGCAGCUCCUUCCUGAAGGCUUUCAUCUGAGCAUUGAUGCGAUACAGCAGCUCAUGCUCCCUGAUCCUGUGGAGCCAAAGCAGAAAUCUCACCUAAUUCUUGACACAAUUGUUCUAAAACCAUGAGGGUUGUAUUUGCUGUCAUACCUGCCACCCUCUUCAUCCUCAUCCAGCCUGGCAAAGAGCUCCCCGUUAGUGACAUACACUCGUGCUUCAGCGAUAAUGGUGGUGGUGUCAGCGAUGAGCCUGUCAAUGGUCCGGCCCAGCCUCUCUGCCUCAAUUCGGAUGUCUAUCAAGUUUUGCCGGUCCUUCAGGCUUCUGGAUAAAAAACGGCUGUCUACAGGGCCCUCGCGUUUUCGGUGAGGGGGAAGGAGGCGAGGAGAGGAUGCUGAGGCCAAGGGAGUGUCAUCUUCCCGCCCCCCAUCACUCUCUGCGUCACUAUCUCGAGGACUGCCGCGGAUCCCCAGGUGGGAGGCUAAGUCGUAGCGCUGCAUGUUGGAGAGCAGCACCCGGUUCUCAUACUGGAGCUGCAUGACUUUUCCACUCAGCUCAUUGAUCUGCAGACGUGCUGCCUUCAGCUCCUCCUGGAGGGCCUCCACUUUAGCUGGAUCGGCUCCUCCUGGGUUUGCAAGAGACACCAAUUAAAGCAGAACAGAAAAUUACACAUUAAAUCAUUGAAUGUUUUCACAUAAAACCCUUUAAAUUAUUUUGCACAUGAGAUUCUAAAAAUAGAUUGUCAUCUAGUUACUUUUUGUGUAUUUCCCUGAUUGAUAAAAAAUAAGCAAAUUGCAAACCUCCGUGUCUUGACCCGGCCUCGUGGGACCCAGCCUUGUACUUGAGUUUAUUGAGCUCACUUGUCACCUACAGAGUAAACUGGAUGUCACUGCUAGGCUGCAUUCAGUUCCUGCGAAGAAGUUCUGCCUCAUCUUCCACCAGCUGCAGCUGUUGCCUCAGCUCAGACAGGGCCUCACUUUGCUCCCUACUCUGAUGACCGCCGCUGCUGGAACCAUCCACAC